GCGGGCUGCCCGACCCUGGGCGGGGCGCCGCCGGCCCGCAGCCCCGACGUUGCCUUCGGGGAGGCGGCGGACCGACGUCGUCCGAGUGGACGAGGAGAGGCCCGAAGAAACCCGCCGCACCGGCCCGGCGCCGCUGGCCCCCGUCAGCCCUCCCCGCUGCGCAGUCUACUUCCGCCGCUUUCAGCGCCGCCUCCGGCUCUCUGACCCUCCCCCUCCCCCCCCUCCGUGCUCCACGGGCCCUCCAUGACCCCGACCCCUGCGCUUGGAGGCCUCACCCAGGACCCACGCCCUUGGGCCACCACAGCGUUCCCACGGGGGCCCCUACAUCUAGAGUGCCUGCAUGCUGACCCCAAGGGCCCUGGCCACAACCCCCUCCCCAGAACGGCAGGCCCAGAACUGCUGGGCCCACUCCCUUGGGAGCCCUGGCCUGCAACGGGAAAAACGGAGGGUAAGGUUCCUACAGCGCCUGCCUCCCUUCUCAUUUUAAGCAAAAAUGGGUACGUUGAAGUGGGCACAGUGCUGCUCCUUCUCAGCUGGCUUCUCCCCGUUACCAGUUCGAACAUCAGGAAAAACAAAAUACUCCAUUUAAGUCGGUAUGUUUUCAGACUAUCAUUUUAUUAAAUACCGUAUCGCUUAGCU